rnacentral:rRNA from 1 species
UACGUAGGGUGCAAGCGUUAAUCGGAAUUACUGGGCGUAAAGGGUGCGUAGGCGGCAUGGUAAGUCAGAGGUGAAAUCCCGGAGCUCAACUUCGGAAUUGCCUCCGAUACUGCCAUGCUUGAGGACUGGAGAGGAGAUUGGAAUUCACAGUGGAGCAGUGAAAUGCGUAGAUAUUGUGAGGAACACUAGUGGCGAAGGCGAAUCUCUGGACAGUUCCUGACGCUGAGGCACGAAGGCCAGGGGAGCAAACGGG